rnacentral:rRNA from 1 species
UACGUAGGGUGCAAGCGUUGUCCGGAAUUAUUGGGCGUAAAGAGCUCGUAGGCGGUUUGUUGCGUCGGCUGUGAAAACCUGAGGCUCAACCUCAGGCCUGCAGUCGAUACGAGCAGACUAGAGUGUUGCAGGGGAGACUGGAAUUCCUGGUGUAGCGGUGAAAUGCGCAGAUAUCAGGAGGAACACCGGUGGCGAAGGCGGUUCUCUGGGCAUGAUCUGACGCUGAGGAGCGAAAGUGUGGGGAGCGAACAGG